CGGGGCAUAGCGCAGCCUGGUAGCGCACCAGCUUUGGGAGCUGGCUGUCGGGGGUUCGAAUCCCUCUGCCCCGACCA
rnacentral:tRNA from 1 species